rnacentral:rRNA from 1 species
GAUGAACGCUGACAGAAUGCUUAACACAUGCAAGUCAACUUGAACUUCGGUUUGGGUGGCGGACGGGUGAGUAACGCGUAAAGAACUUGCCUCACAGCUAGGGACAACAUUUGGAAACGAAUGCUAAUACCUGAUAUUAUGAUUAUAUGGCAUCGUAUAAUUAUGAAAGCUAUAUGCGCUGUGAGAGAGCUUUGCGUCCCAUUAGCUAGUUGGAGAGGUAACAGCUCACCAAGGCGAUGAUGGGUAGCCGGCCUGAGAGGGUGAUCGGCCACAAGGGGACUGAGACACGGCCCUUACUCCUACGGGAGGCAGCAGUGGGGAAUAUUGGACAAUGGACCGAGAGUCUGAUCCAGCAAUUCUGUGUGCACGAUGAAGUUUUUCGGAAUGUAAAGUGCCUUCAGUUGGGAAGAAAAAAAUGACGGUACCAACAGAAGAAGUGACGGCUAAAUACGUG